ensembl:lncRNA
AUGUGAGUCAGGGGGAUGAAAACAUACUGAGAAGAAAGAAUGUGUUACAGUGUGUGUCUGACUGGAGUUAGGAGUGGCAUAAGAUUUACAGAGGGAGACAAAAGACAUUUUGCACUGGGAGUGAAUAAUCUAAAUGUACUUCAAAUUGUAGUUUUAGGUGUUCAUUUGAAAGUUCAGAAGUCUGAAGUGAUAAAUAAUGAAGAAUUCACUCCAAAGGAAAAGAAGCUCCAGCUCAGCUUUAACUACAGCUAACAUGCUGACUACAGAUUGAAAGUCUUUACAUUUAUCUCCAAAUCACAACAGUUUACCAGAAGCAUUAUAGUCACUAAAUAAAUACUGAAUUAUGUGAGAGUUACUCUUCAAUUCUUGGGUUCUGCUAAUUCGGGUUAAAUCUAUAGCUUCUAUACUCUAAAGUCUAAUCUAUAGUCUUAGACUGUUAUCUGUAGAGUGAUAUUUGUCAAGACAUGGGCAAGAUAUAUUACUCCCAACAAUAUUUAAGGAAAUAAUUGCAUGAU